CGACCUCGGAUCAGGUAGGGAUACCCGCUGAACUUAAGCAUAUCAAUA
rnacentral:rRNA from 1 species